AUGACUGAGAGCUGCUGCUCAGCAACUUCACCCACAGCAACCAUGACUUUGAUCAGCGUCUUCAUCUGCACACUGGCCCUCUGGACUCAAGGAUCCAGAGGUCAGGUGACUGUGACUCAGACUCCUUCAGUGCAAACUGUUGCUCCAGGAAACACCGUCACCAUCAACUGUAGAACCAGUAGCAGUGUGUAUAAUGGUAACUAUCUCGCCUGGUACCUGCAGAAACCUGGAGAAGCUCCUAAACUCCUGAUCUACUGGGCUACUAGCUUACAGUCAGGGACUCCAGCUCGUUUCAAAGGCAGUGGAUCUAAUACUGACUUCACUCUGACCAUCAGUGGAGUCCAGACUGAAGAUACAGGAGAUUACUACUGUCAGAGUGGACAUGAGAUCAGUAGUAGCUAUGUGUUCACACAGUGUUAGAGCGUGGUACAAAAACCUCGGUCAGUGAGAGUACACAGAGAAGCACUGCUGCAGCUGGGAGAGACUGCAGGUGCUGAGGGGGAGGAUGUGAGAGGAGUCCACCUUUCUCAGCUGUGGAUGAGGUUUUGUUAACAUAUUAAUAUAUUAGUGAUGGUGAAAAUCAGACAGAAUUUCCUCUGAAACUCUCUUAGGUGCAGCUUAAAGAUGAAUAACAUCAGCACAGUCAGCACCAUAAAUACACUCCAUACACACACACACUUUCAGCUGAUCAUCAUCAGUCCACUACAAUGUCUUUUACUCUCUUUGUGGAAUUUUUCCUCAAUGUGGAACAGCUAUGUGUUUUCAACAGGAAGUGGAUUAUCUCACUUUCUACACUCUUAGAAAGAAAAAAUAACUAAGAAGGUUUGAGCUAAAGCAACAGCAGCCAGACUUACUCAGUAAAAAAAAACAUAUUCAUUAUUUUCUUUUUAUACUUUUUGUUCUGUAUAUAAUUUACCAGUUCUUUAUGAUUUGCAGUAUUACUAUUAUUAUAGCAGUUUUCCUAGUUUUACUUUUAUAGACUUCAGAUUUUAUUAUAACUUUAAUAUCCACAUUAGGAAUUUUUUAACUGAACAUGUCUUAAUUAUUAACAAACUUCUCUUUAUAAUCUCUUAAAUGAGAUUAAACCAGAGAAUUAUAUAUAAUCAUGACAAAAAGGACAGGGUUUUUAAAAUAUCUCCACAGAUGACCCUGAGUUAUACAGCAGUUUGUGUGAAACGUCUCAGUGAUUCUUUAUUUGUAAAUAGAUGACAUUAAUAAUAAACUCUGUAAAAAAUGGGUUUUUGUAGAGAAAACCACUGCAUCAGCAGCACAGUCAACAACCUGAGCACUGCAACAACCACACAGAAACUCUGACCAGUCCUGCCUGCUCCUGACCAGUCCCAACCUUCUCCUGAUCAAAGUAUCUCUAAUAUCACCCACUCCUACAUGAAGUUUAACCCUUCAUACCCUCUCUUGCAGAAAGCUGACCAAUAUUACUGGCUCCUGCAGAAUAAUUGACCAAUCGUGUCCACUGAAGCAGAAACUUUGAGAAACUCCACCACACCAACUCCUGCAAAAAUUUUGACAAAUUCCAUCCUCUCUUAAAGAAAUAAUAAUUAAGUAAUUCUCCCCACUCCUGCAGAAACUUUGACCAAUCCCAGUGAUUUCUACAGACAGUUUGACCAAUCACCUCCUGCUCCUGUUCAGAGUUUAAACAAUCUCACCUGCAGAAAGUUUGACCAAUCCCACCUGAGGACUGAGACCAAGCAAGCUCAGAAAACUCGGGGUCUCAGUAUGAGAGCUGACUUCACUUCACCAAACUCUCAUAAACUGGGUUAACUGGUAUCAUGAUGUGGGUUUACAUCUCGUUAAGGUGAUCCAGACUUUCCUCAUCAAGUCCUGUUCACAUUCACUGUAAAAAGAUCAGAUCUCACACUGCUUCAGAUGCUUGUUGGAAAAGCUGGAGAUGGAUCGUGUUAAAGCUUUAUAUUUUACUGCAGAAGAACAAGAAUAUGAGGUAUACAAUAACCACAAAAAGCAAUACUGUCACUGCUGCAGGGUGUGGGGCAAAAAAGAACUGACUGUGUAAAUGAGUGAGGGCAUUUUAUUUAAUUUCACAUCACACUUGAUGUAAAAGUAAUUGCAACUGAAAUAAUUAGCAGUACAUUUUUAUUCAAUAUUCAUUCUUUCAAAGGUAGAGUGUACUUUAGAGAGAAUAUCUCCUUGGAUUCACGCAGUGAAAGUCUAAAAACUCAGGAAAUCUAUUGUAUAACAUCUUACCAUUAACUGUUUAAGACUGAUUUAUCUAUUGUGUAUCAGAGAUGUUAUAGAGAGGCUUUUGAAGAAAAAAGUUUAGGU